ACAACAGACGAGAGAGGCUGGGUCUCAGGAAGGAACUCUGUCUGAACUGGGGACAUCUCCAGGAGACAUGCAGAGGCCCCAACCCUCUCUGAGCCUCCGUUUGCCUCCACCGGAAACAAGGGAAGUGCAGCUUGUACCCAGGUCAGCAUGAGAAGCACCCACUACCCAGAGAGCAGAUAUCUCACAGGGAGGACCCCACACGGCCCUACUACUACCAAGGAGAUCAUGUAACUGGACCAUCCAAUACCCACCAGCCAUGAUUACAAACCAGGACGUCAGGGAACCCAUACUCUGCCGCAGAAAGACACUGGUCGCAGUGAAGACUCCUGCUCCUGUUCUUCUCCCAUAAAAACAGGAAUAAAAGUUCUACUCACUCCA